AUUGAACGCUGGCGGCAGGCCUAACACAUGCAAGUCGAACGAGUGGCGGACGGGUGAGUAAUGUCUGGGAAACUGCCUGAUGGCGGGGGAUAACUACUGGAAACGGUAGCUAAUACCGCAUACCAUCAGAUGUGCCCAGAUGGGAUUAGCUAGUUGGUGGGGUAACGGCUCACCAAGGCGACGAGCCCUAGCUGGUCUGAGAGGAUGACCAGCCACACGGGAACUGGGACACGGUCCAGACGCCUACGGGAGGCAGCAUGGGGGAAUAGUGCACAAUGGGCGAAAGCCGGAUGCAGCAAUGCCGCGUGUAUGAAGAAGGCCUUCGGGUUGUAAAGUACUUUAAGCGGGGAGGCGUGACCCGCAGAAGAAGCACCGGCUAACUCCGUGCCAGCAGCCGCGGUAAUUC
rnacentral:rRNA from 1 species